GGGUCCCCUCGCGCUCCCCGUCGUCGCUUCUCCAUCCCACGGCGAAGCUUCCUCGCCGCACCUUCCGGGAACCUUCCACCGUGGCGUCGCCCCUCGUCAUCACAGCCGCGCGGCAGGCAGCUUCCUGGAACCUCCUCCUUCCGAUUCCCCUUUGCUGCUUGGCAAGUCGGUAGCCGGGUUAUCGAUGUUAUCCUCUAUUCAUCCAUACUAUAGGGGGCUAUAAGUCUGUGACCCGUGGCCGUAUCCGGCAAGGAAGCCCAUACCUUCCCGGAACCAUCGCCGCCGGCGGCGCCGGCGAGGGAGGCGCCGGGCGGCGUGCUCAUGGGGUUGCCAAUUGUCAUCAUGGAACCGACAAGCGGGGGUUCUUGUCCUCCGUUUCCUUGGGAUUUCCGCCGUGCGUACAUCGUGAGUCCGAUACAGAUCCACGGAGGAAUGACCUAAUGGCUAAUGAUUGAAUUUAUUUGGGAAACAUCCAUAAUAUCUUGGAGUCUUCUUGUUUAAACAGACAGUGCCUCAUAUGGUGGACACAGAUUAUCAUUCAAGAAAGAUUUACUGUAUGUUUGAUUUGUAUCAUGGAAACGACUCGCAACCAAUAAUAUUAUUUGGAUUAUUUUAUGGGAUCACUUCAUGAGAAUAGUUCGGAGCACCCGGCCUUGGGGUGCUCCCGUGCACCCGGCCGAGUGCAUCCGUUGGAUGGAGAAACUGCCCAGGCCAUUUUUCAAAGAGCGACUCAUUUCGAAGAAAAGACUGACACCAUAACAUACCGGUUCAUGCUGGAUGAGAUAAUUCUUCAAGCCAACUGCACUAAAUUCAUUGAAUCUCUGCAGACUCUUGGUCCGCCACGGAUCGGACAUACUUCAUACAAGCCUCUCCACGACCCAGUUUGGACACAAUGCCAUCAGCGUUGUUUUGUCCUUCACCUAGAACAAUUGCAGCGCAUGAGGAUGCUUUCAGAGCAUGGAUGUUGAGGUCACUCAAGUAGACGGCAUCAAUGUCCUCUCUGUUAGAGUGUUAGUUGUAUAGCUAGCUAGCUAGCUUGUGCUCUGAUCUUGGUCCUUGAUUCACUGGAAAUCUCAGACUCUCGCUUCAUAUAUUGUGCGUAUGGGAUGCCAACCUUCCAGGAUCGAUGAUAUGUCGAUGUGCCUCUGCUCGCAUCAUUGCACUCCCGUAAGUAGUAGAAUAUGUACUUAGGGGCACAAUGAAAGUCUCUAUUAAUUUCCUUGUGUGCUAUAUUUUUCUUUCAUAAAUCACGCAAACCACGCGCAUACUAUGAUAAAUAAAUAACUGAAAAGCCUCAUGCAAACAAAAUGCAUGAUAAUAUCGACUAAAAAUAUAUGAUAUAUCAUGUAUAUAUAUAUAUAUAUGAUAUAUCAUGUAAAAAGAUUUGUGUGCUGCAAUGAAGUAUGUACCAUACCGUUGUGUGGUCUGUUUUUUGUAUUUUACUAAAAAUAUAAUGUGAGUGAAUUGUGGGCAAAGUCGUCCCAUGUGUAGUAACCAGUUGAGUAUAUGUAAUAAGUGCUCUGAGCACAAAUACAGAUUUCCGAUCGCCUGUAAUAGUCCUUGCACGAUGAUAUUAUUACCAUGGAGGAAUUUUUGUGUGAUAGAUCAUCCUGUCUCCCAGCGUGUACCGAUGGAGGAUGUGUGCUAUUUGCUUCCGUGACUUCACUUCUCGUUUCCACAUUGUAAUCAUCAGCUGCAUGCUUGAGAAGCAAAUUCACUAC